UACAGAGGGUGCGAGCGUUAAUCGGAAUUACUGGGCGUAAAGGGUGCGCAGGCGGCUCCGCAUGUCGGGCGUGAAAUCCCCGGGCUUAACCUGGGAAUUGCGUCCGAAACUAUGGAGCUGGAGUGUGGCAGAGGGAGGUGGAAUUCCACGUGUAGCGGUGAAAUGCGUAGAUAUCGGAAGGAACACCGAUGGCGAAGGCAGAUCUCUGGGCCGUAACUGACGCUGAGGAGCGAAAGCAUGGGGAGCGAACAGG
rnacentral:rRNA from 1 species